GAUCCCUGUGGAAAAUGGGGUCAAAGGUCACCACCAGAUUCUCCCUCACUUCCUCACUGGUGUGGAAGGGUUCAGAGGAGGGAGCACAGUUAGAAGAACCCUGGACCAAGGAAAAUUUCUUCCUUUCCUUCACUUGAAGCUGUCAGCAGGAUAAACUUCCCCUGGACAUUUGCUCUGAAGAUUCUGCAGCUUUGAGAUCUUGGGACAUAGGACACAAAAUCGACAGAAGGGAGAAGUGCAUCAAGCAAGGCACAACAACAAAAUAGGAUCUAUCAACAAAGAAGUCCAAAAAUUUCACGGUAUGACAAGAGAUUCACAAAGCUUCUAUUUC